GGAAAUAGUCCCUGUGCCCGAGCGGGCCUCAUCACCAGGUGCUGCUGCCCCUCCGCCCGGCUGCCCCGCUGGUGACUAUUGGGAUGGUGGCGGAGUGAUACGGCCUCGGAGGCAGCAGCACAUAAAGGCCCCGCGGAGUGAUGCGGUAGCAGCUGCGGCAGCGAGCAAGAGCCCAGUGGCUGCCGGGGAACAGUGAGGCCCUUCCGCCGCACCGAUACUCCCGCCGCUCCACCUCCCCCCUCCCAAGAGCGCCGCCACCGCCGCGCCCCUCCCCCCGCGAAAUAAUCCCGAGCGAGCUCCCCUCCCUCCCCCACGCCGCCCGAACCGCGCGCCCCCUCCCCGCACCGAGCCCCUCACACACACAAUGGCGCUGAAGAGAAUCCACAAGGAGUUGAAUGACCUGGCACGUGAUCCCCCAGCGCAGUGUUCAGCAGGGCCUGUUGGAGAUGACAUGUUCCAUUGGCAAGCUACAAUAAUGGGACCAAAUGACAGUCCCUAUCAGGGUGGAGUAUUUUUCCUGACAAUUCACUUCCCAACAGAUUACCCCUUCAAACCACCUAAGGUUGCAUUUACAACAAGAAUCUAUCAUCCAAAUAUUAACAGUAAUGGCAGCAUUUGUCUUGAUAUUCUACGGUCACAGUGGUCUCCAGCACUAACUAUUUCAAAAGUACUUUUGUCCAUCUGUUCUCUGUUGUGUGAUCCCAAUCCAGAUGAUCCCUUAGUGCCUGAGAUUGCACGGAUCUACAAAACAGAUAGAGAAAAUUUAAAAGGGAACUUCUUUUCUGAGCAAUUGCUUGAUGAUGAUGAUUGUAAACUAAUUCCCCACCUUGAGCUGUUCCCACUCCAGAACUGAUCAGCAGUUCCCUUACACGACCAUCUAAUGAAGUCAAGACAGCACUUCAGCAACCUGUACAACAGAAUAGCUCGGGAAUGGACUCAGAAGUAUGCGAUGUAAUUAAAGAAAUUAUUGGAUAACCUCUACAAAUAAAGAUAGGGGAACUCUGAAAGAGAAAGUCCUUUUGAUUUCCAUUUGACUGCUUUCUAUGAGCCCACGCCUCAUCUUCCCCUGUGCACAUGUUUACCUGAUACAGCAGUGCUGCGUGUUGUACAUACUUGGAACAACAAAAUAGAAAUACUGUAUUCCCCGUACCAACAUUGACUCCUAGCAAAGAAGUGUGUGUGUGAAAAGCCAGUUCUUCAGUCAUAACUUAGUUGUGAGCCUAAAAGCAUUCCUUAUUGAUUUAAAUUGGGUAAUAAAAUGAGGGGGGAGGAGUGGUGGGUUUCAUCGUUUUCUGGAGACAGUUCACUGACUUGUGGGAGGAUUUUUUUAAAAUGGAAUCCUUUUAAACUCAUAACAGUUAUGGAAAGCCAAGGUGAGGAACUCAAAGCUGUUUCUGUAUUCAUUUUAUUCUGAAGGAUCUACAUCUUAGGUAAAAGUUACAACCAACAAGAUUAACCCGUACCCACAUCCUGUGUUUAAGGUCUAAGUUUAAAUGGUCAACAUUUAAAUGGAUUGGAGCUAUUAGUGCAUCAAGUGACGUUGAUUUAUUUCAACUCUUCUCUCCCCUCCCUCAUACCUUUUUGGUUUGUAUGUGGUUUCUCAGUUAAUACAUAGCUAAUAGCUCUUAUUUUUCUUAAGUUUUUUAACUGCUUAGGUCUUUCUGGAUGUAAGGGUAAAAAUUCAUUUGACAGAAAACUCGUGUAUAUUUAAAGACCCAACUGCUCCCCUGGGGCUUGUACGUUCAAGAAUGAUUAAUCUGUGUAAUAAACUGAUUACUACAGUCAUUACAUAUAACUUUGUGUGAAUAGGCUUUUAAUUUUAAAACCAGUUUGUUACAGGCUAAAAUUAAUGGUGGCUUGUCCUUAAAUGUCUGCAUUCACAAACAGUUGCAUUUCAGAAUCAUGAAGCAAUUCAGUUUGCAUCAGAAAAGGCUAUGAGCCUGGACAAGACAAACGUAAGGUUAAAGCACUUACAUGAACUCAAGAUAUGUCGUGUGCCAGCAACUUGACUGUUAAACCAAAAAAGUAGUUUACUUAAUGAGGAUCUGAGCAACAAAAUUUUACAAAGCCUAGUGGUAUUAUUCCCACUUGCAUGGGACUUAACACAAGGCAUAUGUAGGUAAGUGAAACCUUAUGUAACUAAAGUAAUGGAUGUAAAAGGGUAAAAAUUAUCACACACAUCAGCACAAACGUUCAUAAAAUGUAGGUUUUACAUGCUUACUUUGCACUAAACAUUUGCAAAUGUUCAUAUGGUUUUAAAUUGUACUUGUAUGUGUCUUUUAUUUGAACAAAGUCUUCACUUGAAUUCAGUAAAAAUGUAGUUUGAAAUUUUACUUUGUAAACAAGUGUAUUUGCCAGCAACAUUCAUGUGAAGUAGGUGAGUCUACAAUUUUAUCUCCUUUAGUAUAACUGUAAACCAAGCCAUCAAAAUGAAGGAGAGGCUAUAGUCUCCAGCCACAGGGGUCUGUCCCAUCCAUUUUCAAAUGCAUCUUUACACUCUUGCACAAAUGAGGAAUAAAUGUCCACUGCUUUUGGUCUAAAUUUGUUCCAGUUGUCUCAUCUCUCAAUGUCCUUGGUUAUGCAUCUCUGCAUGUAAAUGUUAGCAGCCUCGAGUUUUCUGUGCAGCGGGCUAUAGGAAAAACUUGCAUAUACAAAUGAGUCUUGAUAGCAGACACAUGGUAACUGCUAUGGUUUACACUUGGAGGUUUUUAUACUUAUUGCAUGAGGGAAAAGCAAAGUUUUCUGAUUAAAAUGGCUCUGAAACGGAGCAGAGCUUCACUUGCAAAGAACUAUAGAAUGUAUGGCCAUAUAUUGAACAGGUGAUGUGCUAAGAAUAUAGAAUGCUUCUUGGAAAAAGUACAGUUAUGUGAAGUAACUUGUACUGGAAGGACAAAUGAACUUGGGAAAGGCUUGCAUUAUUGAAGCAUUCUCUAAGAGCAUAAUUGUAUUUGCCUAUGUUCAUAUAAUAUUAUGGCCAUAGAAAAAUGAGCCGUAAUGGGGGCCUACAGACUGGUUUGAUUCACCUACCAUGCAUAUUGUUACCAGUAAUAAGAUAUAGCUGCAUAGUACAGGAAUUUAAUAACUUGUACCUAAAUUUGCAGCUGUAGUUUAGUAGGAACUUCUGUGCAGUCUAUUUGAACUUCUAACAGUUAUGAUCAGGCCUUAUAUUUAAUAGUAAUUAAAAAAAGCUCCAGUGUUAAAUGCACUGGUACCCUACUGUGGCACUUGGGGAAAGUACAGGGUACUGUGAAGUCACCAGUGCAACUUCCUAUGCCAUGUUUGAUCUUCCUUGCCACCUUCAAUGAUAAGCAUAACUAAACGAUUACUUGCCUUUAACUGCACAUCUGUUUUGAGUAUUGUGUAAAAGUCUCCAUAGUCUGCUGUAAGUGCCAGAGAGUGGAAUAUAUAAUCUAAAUUAAUCUGUUUUUUAUGAAGUCAUGAAGUAAAUUACCAUACUCAUAAGGCCCAAAGUGUGUGUGGUGGGGGAGAGAUUGAGAGGCAAGGGUAGAGGGGAGUGUUAUAAGAAGAGAUGGAGAAACAAAAGGAGCCUGUUUCAAAGCUGUGGAUCAGGCUCUUGCAUGGUCAGUUGCGAUAGAAAGGGUGUCAGAAGUCUGUUCUAGGUAAGAAUAGAUAAGAUCUAAGCUAAAAGCUAAUGCAAAAUGACGGGGGUGUUCCAUCUUCUGCAUAAUUCCAGCUUACACAUGGCUGUCAUCGCUUGUAGUAAAGUGACUUCUACCCUCUGUAGGUGAAGUGAAGGCUUUAAAUUUAUUCGGACCGGAGUUCAUGCAACAGCAGGUGUGAAUAGUACCUUGUGUAGAUGUGUGCAUACUAGUUGUAUUCUAGCUAACUCAUUAAAAAUAAAAUAGUGAGGAUGCUAUGGCACAGGGCUUAGCAGUUACAUAUGUACUUGUGGAGGCAGGCAGGCUUGUGCAGCCUGUACUAAGCCCAUUCCAUGAUGUACACUUAAAGUAGCUUGCUGCAAUUGGAAUACAGAUAACCAAGAAUGUCUGUCUAUAUGGCCUUGCAUUCACAUCCCUGACUACAAUGUAGACAUAUCCUGAAGCAUUACAUGUUGCAAGAAGCUUUAGUUUCUGGGUUCUUUGCACAGGUGUUAAUGUUACCCAACCAAGCAGCUAACAGAGAGCUUGUCUUAACUUUACAGUUUAUUUCAGUUAACUAGUUCACUUUAACUGUUACUACUGUGACUUACAGGGUUGUACCUUCAUCAGCACUCUGCAUCUAAUAGUUCCCAUUUUCCUGGGUGCUAAUUAUGUCUACUU